rnacentral:rRNA from 1 species
GCCCGAGUGCUCUCACAUACAAAUAUCCAUCUCACCCCUUUGUGCAUCACCGCGUGCGUCCCCCCUUCCUCGGAGGGGGGUGCUCACGUUUUUAAACAUCAAACACCCUAGUGUAGAAUGUUCUUUGCGCGAUCACGCGCGAAUCAAUACAACUUUCAACAACGGAUCUCUUGGCUCUCGCAUCGAUGAAGAACGCAGCGAAAUGCGAUACGUAAUGUGAAUUGCAGAAUUCAGUGAAUCAUCGAAUCUUUGAACGCACCUUGCGCCCCUUGGCAUUCCGAGGGGCACACCCGUUUGAGUGUCGUGAACAUCCUCAACCUGCUUCGUUCUAUCGAACCAAGUAGGCUUGGAAUUUGGAGGUUUUUUCUGCUGGCUUCUUCCUCUGAAGCCAGCUCCUCUUAAAAUUAUCAGUGGGAUCCGCUUUGCUAGAUCCUCGACGUUGAUA